rnacentral:rRNA from 1 species
GACGAACGCUGGCGGCGUGCUUAACACAUGCAAGUCGAACGACGUGGCGACCGGGUGAGUAACGCGUAAUCAACCUGCCCUUCAGAGGGGGAUAAAAGUUGGAAACGACUGCUAAUACCGCAUACUGAAGGCGGGGAUUGCGUCUGAUUAGCUAGUUGGAGGGGUAACGGCCCAACAAGGCGAGUAUCCGUAGCCGGGCUGAGAGGAUGAAUGGCCACAUUGGGACUGAGACACGGCCCAGACUCCUACGGGAGGCAGCAGUGGGGAAUCUUCCGCAAUGGACGAAAGUCUGACGGAGCAACGCCGCGUGAGUGAUGACGGCCUUCGGGUUGUAAAGCUCUGUUAAUCGGGACGCGGUACCGGAAUAGAAAGCCACGGCUAACUACGUGCCAGCAGCCGCGGUAAUUC